UUAAUUUAUAUUUAAUUUUGAAAUAUCAUCAGAUAAGUGCAAUCUUUUACAAGUAUAGAGAUAUGUUUGGACAUCAGAUAAAUCGUCAUUAUAAAGAUGAAGAAACUGAAAUACACAGAAAUCAUAUGCUGUUCUUAAGUUCAUGCAGCAGAUUUAAGACAUCAGAACUAUGAUGAAUUUUGUGCAUCCUAACAUAUUAUAAGACUAUUUUUAUAUCUAUUUCUCUAAUAGAAGUUUACUUUCUGCCCUAGGUGGGUGUUCUGAUCAGCAGAGCAGCUCUUCCUCAUACAGUAAUUCAGGUCCUCAGGCUCCUUCCAUCUGUGCCUUCGCCAUAGCCUAUGACCUCAUUGUCAUCUCCAUUUAGCAUGCAGGGGAACCACUGGAGGUUUUUAUCUGACAGGCCUAGGAUGGAAUCCUGCUCACCAGGCAUGAUGACUAUUUCACCUUGUAUGUCUCUUCAUUUGGCUGGUAUCCUUUUAAAUAAAGCUGUACUCAGAUGUGUAACAGUUUUGUGAGUUCUUUCAGUUCUUCUAGUGAAUUGUGAAACCCUGGUAAAAGGCCGGAGGUCUCCUUGGGGAAGAAUGGGAGAAAGAUUCACUGCAUAAAUUGUCAGUAAUCUAGUGGGGUUCUUCCUCACGGGGAGCCAGCCUCCCCUUCAUUUAAUGGUUCUGGGUCUAUAAACUGGCUCAAGUCUGGAAAUUGAUUGAGGGGCCAUGAUUCUCUAUUUUUAUAAUUCAAAUUAGUCUUUUGUCCAUUCAACCUAGAAGUUUUCUCCUUAUACAAGUUAAGUAGGAAUGGCAGUAGGCUUUCUAUCAAUUUCAUUUCUAGGAAUACCAUGAUUAAUUACCCAAUGCCAGAGCCCUACACGAGUCAGACUAUUCUGAUGGCUACUUUUUCUCUGCUGUCCAUUAUGGUAGUUACUCUCACCUUGCCUUUGAUGGUUAACUGCUGCCACAUGGCCCCUGCCACCUUGGGAUCCAAUUAUUCCCACUGUAUUUAAAUUUUGUAAUUGAGUGACUGUGGAGUCCACUGUUAGAUCUGACAUACAGAGAAGAGCAAUUACAGGGCUCUUCAGAAAUGCAGGUCCUGCCAUCACAAAUCUAUUUUGCAUGACAUUGGUCAAGGGUAUAUCUUCUGGACACUCCCAGCUGGGAUGAGUAGGUUUAAAGUGACUAAUCCACUCCACCAUCCCAAUCUCCCUAAGCCUUUGGAUCCCUUCCUCUACAUUAAACCAAGGGAGAUCAGGCAUUUCCAGCACCUCAGAGUGGGCCAUCUUUUAAUCCAUAUUUCAGUUAACAAAGCUAA
rnacentral:lncRNA from 10 species